rnacentral:rRNA from 1 species
AGAACGAACGCUGGCGGCAGGCCUCAAACAUGCAAGUCUAGGGGGUGUAGCAAUACAUCACCGGCGGACGGGUGCGUAACACGUGGGAAUAUACCUUUUGGUUCGGAACAACGCAGGGAAACUUGCGCUAAUACCGAAUGUGCCCUUACGGGGAAAGAUUUAUCGCCAAAGGAUUAGCCCGCGUAGGAUUAGCUAGUUGGUGAGGUAAUGGCUCACCAAGGCUCCGAUCCUUAGCUGUUCUGAGAGGAAGAUCAGCCACACUGGGACUGAGACACGGCCCAGACUCCUACGGGAGGCAGCAGUUGGGAAUCUUGGACAAUGGGGGAAACCCUGAUCCAGCCAUGCCGCGUGAGUGAUGAAGGCCUUCGGGUUGUAAAACUCUUUCGACGGGGACGAUAAUGACGGUACCGUAGAAGAAGCUCCGGCUAACUCGUGCCAGCAGCCGC